GACGAACGCUGGCGGCGUGCCUAAUACAUGCAAGUAGAACGCUGGAGGAGGAGCUUGCUUCUCUGGAUGAGUUGCGAACGGGUGAGUAACGCGUAGGUAACCUGCCUGGUAGCGGGGGAUAACUAUUGGAAACGAUAGCUAAUACCGCAUAAUAUUGACUAUUGCAUGAUAGUCAAUUGAAAGGUGCAACUGCACCACUACCAGAUGGACCUGCGUUGUAUUAGCUAGUUGGUGGGGUAACGGCUCACCAAGGCGACGAUACAUAGCCGACCUGAGAGGGUGAUCCGCCACACUGGGACUGGGACACGGCCCAGACUCCUACGGGAGGCAGCAGUAGGGAAUCUUCGGCAAUGGACGGAAGGCUGACCGAGCAACGCCGCGUGAGUGAAGAAGGUUUUCGGAUCAUAAAGCUCUGUUGUAAGAGAAGAACGAGUGUGAGAGUGGAAAGCUCACACUGUGACGGUAUCUUACCAGAAAGGGACGGCUAACUACGUG
rnacentral:rRNA from 1 species